CGAAAAUAUAGCACAAAAGAAAUCAUGAAAUAACUCAGUGCAAUCCCAAUCUAAGAUGCAAACACAUCAAAAGAAAAACAAAAUCACACCAUAUCUCCACAUGACACAAAACAAAAACCAACUGCAAUCAACAAAUAAGACGCAAAGAGUCACAAGAAAUUAAAAAAAAAAUCCAUUCGCGGGCAACUACCGACUUAUUAUACUGUAUGAUCGAACACAAACAUAGCCAAAAUAUGACACCAAAGAAAUAAGACGCAAAC
rnacentral:lncRNA from 1 species